AUGCGUGGAAGGAGGGCAAGAUCCGCGGCACGGCGGUGCUGGUCAAGAGCGGCGUGCUCGACCUCGGUGACUUCAACUCAUCCGUCCUCGACGGCGUCCACAAGAUCCUCGACGACCAAGGACGAUGGCGUCUCCUUCCAUCUCGUCGGCGCCACCGCACCCAACCCCUGUAAGUGUUGGAAAUAUGCCCUAGAGACCACAACAUGUCCCUAG
rnacentral:rRNA from 1 species